GUAGUACUCCCUCCGUCCCAAAAUUCUUGUCUUACAUUUGUUUAGAUACGGAUGUAUCUAACACUAAAAUGUAACUAGAUACAUCCAUAUUUAGACAAAUUUAAGACAAGAAUUUUGGGACGGAGGGAGUACAAA
rnacentral:pre_miRNA from 1 species